rnacentral:rRNA from 1 species
UACAGAGGUCCCAAGCGUUGUUCGGAUUCACUGGCGUAAAGGGUGCGUAGGCGGCCAGGUAAGUUCUGCUGUGAAAAUCCCGCAGGCUCAACUGCGGAACUGACAUUGGGAAACUAUCUGGCUAGAGGGAAUGGAGGGGAAGACGUAGGUAAUUCGUCGGUGUAGCAGUGAAAAUGCGUAGAUAUCGAGAGGAACACCAGUGGCGAAGGCGAGUCUCUGGACAUUUCCUGACGCUGAGGCACGAAAGCCAGGGGAGCAAACGGG